UGCUGUGUUCUGAUUGUCAAAAGUCACUUCUGUUGUGAUUGAUUAGUUUAGAAGCUACUGCUGUUUUCCCCACUGGAUAACUGCUUGGUGUCCUGUUUCGAAUAUCCUGGGUGUAUAAAAUAGAACAUGCUACCUAAUGUGGAUCUCAGAAAUAGAGGUGUAUUGCGACUGAGUGAAACAACCCUGCAAGUGACAAUCCAAAAUCAGAUUAAAGAUCAGCCUGUUUCAAUGAAACCAUCAUGUAACAUAUCCUUCUGACAAUGUUACAGCACCAGAACCAGUAUGGCCUUGCCUCUAGUCGGCCUGUCUACAUACCGUGUCAAGAAACCUACCUUCUCCUGGAAAAUCUAGAACUUGGGAGUCACCACCUAAAAAUAAAG